rnacentral:rRNA from 1 species
GACGAACGCUGGCGGCGUGCUUAACACAUGCAAGUCGAGCGGUAAGGCCCUUUUGGGGGUACACGAGCGGCGAACGGGUGAGUAACACGUGGGUGACCUGCCUUCAGCUUCGGGAUAAGCUUGGGAAACUGGGUCUAAUACCGGAUAUGACUUGGCCUCGCAUGGGGUUGGUGGAAAGUUUUUUCGGCUGGUAGAUGGGCCCGCGGCCUAUCAGCUUGUUGGUGGGGUGAUGGCCUACCAAGGCGACGACGGGUAGCCGGCCUGAGAGGGCGACCGGCC